AGUGAACGCUGGCAGUAGGCCUAACACAUGCAAGUCGAACGGCAGCACAGGAGAGCUUGCUCUCUGGGUGGCGAGUGGCGGACGGGUGAGGAAUACAUCGGAAUCUACUCUGUCGUGGGGGAUAACGUAGGGAAACUUACGCUAAUACCGCAUACGACCUACGGGUGAAAGCAGGGGACCUUCGGGCCUUGCGCGAUUGAAUGAGCCGAUGUCGGAGUAGCUAGUUGGCGGGGGAAAGGCCCACCAAGGCGAGGAUCCGUAGCGGGUUUGAGAGGAUGAACAGCCAAACGGGAACUGAGACACGGCCCAGACUCCUACGGAGGCAGCAGUGGGGAAUAUUGGACAAGGGGCACAAGCCUGAUCCAGCCAUACCGCGUGGGUGAAGAAGGCCUUCGGGUUGUAAAGCCCUUUUGUUGGGAAAGAGAUCCAGCUGGCUAAUACCCGGUUGGGAUGACGGUACCCAAAGAAUAAGCACCGGCUAACUUCGUGCCAGCAGCCGCCGUAA
rnacentral:rRNA from 1 species